rnacentral:rRNA from 1 species
GAUGAACGCUGGCGGCGUGCCUAAUACAUGCAAGUCGAGCGAACAGACGAGGAGCUUGCUCCUCUGACGUUAGCGGCGGACGGGUGAGUAACACGUGGAUAACCUACCUAUCAGACUGGGAUAACUUCGGGAAACCGGAGCUAAUACCGGAUAACAUGUUGAACCGCAUGGUUCAAUAGUGAAAGACGGUCUUGCUGUCACUUAUAGAUGGAUCCGCGCCGCUUUAGGUAGUUGGUAAGGUAAAGGGUUAUCAAGGCAACGAGGCGUAGACGACCUGAGUGGGGGGUAGGCCACACUGGAACGGAGACACGGUCCAGACUCCUACGGGAGGGAGCAGUAGGGAAUCUGCCGCAAUGGGCGAAAGCCUGACGGAGCAACGCCACGUGAGUGAAGAAGGUCUUCGGAGCGUAAAACUCUGUUAUUAGGGAAAAACAAAUGUGGAAGUAACUAUGCACGUCUUGACGGUACCGAAUCAGAAAGCCACGGCUAACUACGUG